rnacentral:tRNA from 1 species
GGGCGUUUGGCGCAGCUGGUAGCGCACCUCCCUUACAAGGAGGCGGUCGCGGGUUCGAGCCCCGCAGCGCCCA